AUGUGCGUAGCUACCAAGUAUGAUUCUGAUGUGAAUACUACGACACACACAAUUACUCAAUCAGUAGCUAAUAGAAUUGAAGAAUUUAAGGAGCAGCUUCACAAAGAUCUUGAAAAUAUUUUACCUAGUCAUGUUCGGUCGUUAGUGCUGCAAAUCAACGAUGAUUAUUCUGAGAAAAUACCGAUUGAGAAUAGUGGCUUCAUUAACUUUCCUAGUAAUAAUCAUAAACCUGGAGCAUCGGCUAAUAACAUUGUGCAGCCCCAUGUUCCUUCAAAUAGUGAUCAAGGUGGCCGGAACUAUGAGAGCAGUUCGGCUAAUAAUUUUAUGCCUAGCGUAGCUGCUCCUAUUGUCUCAACUUCGGCUCCACAAAAUCACAACAGCAAUAACCGAAGUGCUAGUUCGAAUUCUAGUUUCCAACAACUUUUUUAUCCAACUGUAGAAUAUAGUACACCACCGCUAUUGACUGUCAGUACCGGGAUUCCGUGCAGGCCGGUACCCGAUUCAUAUUUUAAUGGGUCUCCGUUGCAAGCAUCACAAGCUCAAAUUUCUUUGCCUGAGUUUCCAUCAUGUGCUAGCGUUCCAUCUGCUCCACAAACUAGUUCUCUGCAGCCGAAUGAUAGUUUUAAGGAUAAGCUUGCUAGUAUACUAAGAGAAUUUGGUUUAGAACCUAAGAGUAAAGCACGUGCAUAUCAAAAACAUACCCUGAUUACUUCGAUUCGACGGCUUAUCCUCGCGAUUUUAGAAUUCCUGACUUUGUUAGGUUUACAGGGGAAGAUGGUAGAUCCACUUUCGAGCAUAUCGGACAAUUUCUAG
rnacentral:rRNA from 1 species